rnacentral:rRNA from 1 species
UUAAAUUGAAGAGUUUGAUCAUGGCUCAGAUUGAACGCUGGCGGCAGGCCUAACACAUGCAAGUCGAACGGUAACAGGAAGCAGCUUGCUGCUUUGCUGACGAGUGGCGGACGGGUGAGUAAUGUCUGGGAAACUGCCUGAUGGAGGGGGAUAACUACUGGAAACGGUAGCUAAUACCGCAUAACGUCGCAAGACCAAAGAGGGGGACCUUCGGGCCU